GAGCAAACAGGAUUAGAUACCCUGGUAGUCCACGCCGUAAACGAUGUCGACUUGGAGGUUGUGCCCUUGAGGCGUGGCUUCCGGAGCUAACGCGUUAAGUCGACCGCCUGGGGAGUACGGCCGCAAGGUUAAAACUCAAAUGAAUUGACGGGGGCCCGCACAAGCGGUGGAGCAUGUGGUUUAAUUCGAUGCAACGCGAAGAACCUUACCUACUCUUGACAUCCAGAGAAGAGGUGCCUUCGGGAACUCUGAGACAGGUGCUGCAUGGCUGUCGUCAGCUCGUGUUGUGAAAUGUUGGGUUAAGUCCCGCAACGAGCGCAACCCUUAUCCUUUGUUGCCAGCGGUUAGGCCGGGAACUCAAAGGAGACUGCCAGUGAUAAACUGGAGGAAGGUGGGGAUGACGUCAAGUCAUCAUGGCCCUUACGAGUAGGGCUACACACGUGCUACAAUGGCGCAUACAAAGAGAAGCGACCUCGCGAGAGCAAGCGGACCUCAUAAAGUGCGUCGUAGUCCGGAUUGGAGUCUGCAACUCGACUCCAUGAAGUCGGAAUCGCUAGUAAUCGUGGAUCAGAAUGCCACGGUGAAUACGUUCCCGGGCCUUGUACACACCGCCCGUCACACCAUGGGAGUGGGU
rnacentral:rRNA from 1 species